UGGUUCUGGCAUCGAUGAAGAACGCAGCGAAAUGCGAUAAGUAAUGUGAAUUGCAGAAUUACGUGAAUCAUCGAAUUUUUGAACGCACAUUGCGCCCUCUGGUAUUCCGGGGGGCAUGCCUGUUCGAGCGUCAUUACAAUCUUCUAAAACUCUUGUUAGUUUUGGGUCUUGGGCUACGUGCUUUCCUUGCAAGGUGCCAGCCUCAAAAUGAUUAGGCGGGAGAGCCUCUCCUUGGGCUUUGGAAAUUCUUGUCUGAACGCGCAGUAAGGCUUGUUUAGAAAACCUGUCGCUAGCGAUUCAAAAUUUCCAUCUGCUAUGUUAAGGAGGGUCCGCCUUGCAAAAAAUACUGCUCUCAAAAAGAAACGUGCGGCACUUGGGGCCACCGUUUUUUUGAUUAAAGCUUUGACCUCGAAUCAGGUAGGAAUACCCGCUGA
rnacentral:misc_RNA from 1 species